UCCAGACUCCUACGGGAGGCAGCAGUGGGGGAUAUUGCACAAUGGGGGGAACCCUGAUGCAGCGACGCCGCGUGGGUGAAGGAGCGUUUCGGCGCGUAAAGCCCUCUCGGCAGGGAAGAAGGAGGACGGUACCUGACUAAGAAGCCCCGGCUAACUACGUGCCAGCAGCCGCGGUAAUACGUAGGGGGCAAGCGUUAUCCGGAUUUACUGGGUGUAAAGGGGGCGCAGACGGCAGCGCAAGCCAGGAGUGAAAGCCCGGGGCCCAACCCCGGGACUGCUCUUGGAACUGCGCGGCUGGAGUGCAGGAGGGGCAGGCGGAAUUCCUGGUGUAGCGGUGAAAUGCGUAGAUAUCAGGAGGAACACCAGUGGCGAAGGCGGCCUGCUGGACGACAACUGACGGUGAGGCGCGAAAGCGUGGGGAGCAAACAGGAUUAGAUACCCCAGUA
rnacentral:rRNA from 1 species